rnacentral:tRNA from 1 species
UUUGGACUGUAACUCAGUGGUGAGUACCUGCUUCACAUGCAUGAGGCCUGGGUUCAAUCCCCAGCACCAAAA